UAUCCAGUAGAAAAAAAGAUAAUCUCUUCAGCAAAUGGUGUUGGAAAACUGGACAGUGACAUGCAGAACAAUGAACCUGGACCACUUUCUUACGCCAGUCACAUUCUCUUGAAGGGAUAGCCUUAUCAAGCUAUCAUUGCUGGCAUUGGUUAACAUCACUUAAUAUUUUGCUUGUGUAGUGCUUAUGAAGUACACUUCCUGAUAGUAUAAAUUCCAGUGUAGGUUUUUUAUUGAAGAGUGCUAAUUAAUGAAGUAAAAUUUUGUGUAGUGUAACUUGAUGCUCUUGAGUUAGUCUGGUCAUUUCUCAGCCCUCAGUCUAGAGAGAAUUACCAGACUUAAAUUAAUAAUCAAAUUUUAAAAUGUAACUCAAGUUGUGUUACCCUGCAGAAGACCAACUGGACAGACAAAUUUUCUUGGUGCUAUUUCUCUUAAACUACAUAAUUUUAAAAACAUUUCAUAUCUUCCAACUCUUUUUUGUUUUUUUAAAUAUAGCAGUCUAACUGUCAAUAGCAAAGGCAUAUCACUGGUUUAUGCAAGUAAGUCAGCUCCUGUAAUUGUGUUCAUUUAAAAUAAUUGAAUAAUUAUUUCCAAUAAGGAGUGUAAUUUCUGUUCCAUAACAAAUAUAAAUUGCAGCAAGUACCCAUUUAUGACUGUACAGUAUAAAGUUAAAAGAAUACCAGUGUGAAGAGAGUUAUGGCUCAUUCCAUGAUUCUUCUUUUUUAUUUCAAUAUAAUAAAUCAGAAUGUAUGAGCAGUAUGUGUUUGUUCCUGCCCUGAAUUAUGGGCAUCUCUGGGGACUAGAUAAGGAGGAUAGCUAACAUAAGUCUAGUUAUUAGUUUGAUUAACACUGAUAAAAUACUUUUAUGUUCAAUGUGUAUACAUUUUUUGAAUUGUGUUGAAAGAACAACAACAAAUAAGAUAUUUUUACUCAAAGUGAAAAGCGCCUAAACACCAACCAAGUUUUAUCACUAUGAAAGAAGGCAAGGUCUCAGGAGUAUCACUUUCUUCAUUUCUAAUGAUUUUGCUAGAUAUCUUUUAUAAUGGGAUAUUCACGUAUGGUGAUAUAAUUAUGUAUCAUUGAUGUGACAUUUCUUAACAAUUCUCUACAGUAAGGGAAUGUGAUUGGCAUUUAGAAGAAAGCAAUAGCAAAGAAUGGUCCAUAACACCAUGGAACUUACAUUUCUGAGGUAGAAACAGACUUAACCAGGUGAGAAACUUCAAGUGCCUACAGUAAUUUUAUUUGAGCCUUUACUAUCCUUUCAAAGCAGGUGCAAAAACCUAAAGAGCCAUGGUAUUCAUCACUCAGCAAGAUUUUUAUGUAUGUAACAUUGAAAGAAAGCUGCAAAUUUGAUUUGAGAUUACUUUUAAAAAUCCUA